rnacentral:lncRNA from 1 species
UUAUAGGGUUAAGGGAGAGGAGAUGGGGUGAAACGUUCAGGUUUCACUCAUCUGAAAGUGUGGUUACUGUAUGAUAGCUUCUUGUUUCUGUGAGAGGUGUGUUCCAAGUCAGUGAACAAGUAGUGUGAGAGCCUUUUCCCCAGUUCUUUCUUUGAGAGCCUUUUCCCCAGUUCUUUCUUUGAGGGAAAGGUCCCCAGAAACCAGGCACAGCCUGGGAGGAUUGACUGGUUUGCUUCUAAAACCUUUAUGUAAUUCUGUCGUCUCUCAGUUCCUUCCUUUGGGCUGACAGCUAACAAAUCCUCUUUUUAAGCAGUCAGCUCUCUCCUGGCAGACAAUUCAGCAUGGUGUUAGUCCUGUAUGUGAGCAACUUGCUUUGCUGCAAGGCAGCAGGGGAACAGGAGGUUGCAGUUUAUCUGCUGGUAUGGCAUCCAAAGCUGGAUUCUUUGGAAGAGAAUGAUACUGUCCCUUCUCCACUGGAGCAGACAUGGGCUGUGCUGAGGGAGUUACUAAUGGAGGCAAGUUGAGCAACGCGAUGAUGAGGCUUGUACAGAUGCCUUCACCUCUUCCUGAUAAUGGCAGUGGUGACAAAAUCCUUGCUGGGCUUUUUAAGGAAAUACUAGGGGGAAAAGAAACUCAUAGAAAUAUUCAGAGCUCUGCAGUAAGAUCCCCUUCCCCCAGCAGCUUUGGCUGGCCAUGAGGGGAGCGGGGCUGGGAGUUUAUGAGUUGAACUUGUUGGAGCCCCAAGACAGGCUGUGGCUGAUGGCAGCCCCUUAGAUCUCCUUUCUGUAAGGAAGACCAGCAGCAGCCAAUGUUUGGGAGAGGCAGAUCCUCUCCCACUUUCUACAGCAGCAGCCUGAGGAAUCAGUCAGCUUUGAGGAGACAGAGCUGCUGGGGACCUUUUAGGGUUUUGCCCCUCUCACUAAGCAAGGUCUCAGGAAGCAAGUCCCUCUGUCCAGCUUUUCCUGUGUUUGCCUGGAUGGACCUGUCUCCUUUCAGAAGCCCAGGUCCUCUCAGGAGUAAGAAGCCUUUUGUCUGUGAAACUCUAAUCCUGAAGUGAUCCCAGGCUCCAGACUCCCUCCAGAUCUCUGCCUUGGUGUGUUCAGCAUGUUUUCAGAAGCUUGGUGGAGCAGAGAAGUUGCCUGAUAUUGACAGACCAUCUGUGCAACAUGAGAGAGCAAGGCAUCAAAGAGCACCAGUCUUGGUUUCUGAUCAGAGAACAAUGCCUACCAUGCUUUGUUAUGCACCAAACUGAACCACCUGGUGUAAGGCAUUGGGGAUGCUUCAAGGGGGCACCAUCAA